rnacentral:rRNA from 2 species
UACAGAGGUCUCAAGCGUUGUUCGGAUUCAUUGGGCGUAAAGGGUGCGUAGGCGGCGCGGUAAGUCGGGUGUGAAAUCUCGGAGCUUAACUCCGAAACUGCAUUCGAUACUGCCGUGCUUGAGGACUGGAGAGGAGACUGGAAUUUACGGUGUAGCGGUGAAAUGCGUAGAUAUCAGGAGGAACACCGGCGGUGUAGACGGCUUGCUAGACCAUAACUGACGCUGAGGCACGAAAGCGUGGGUAGCAAACAGG